ACCUGACUGGCUUAGUUGGUAGAGUAUAUGACUCUUGAUCUCAGGGUUGUGAGUUCGAGUCUCAUAUUAGAUG
rnacentral:tRNA from 1 species